rnacentral:rRNA from 1 species
AGGAAUAUUGGUCAAUGGGCGGGAGCCUGAACCAGCCAAGUAGCGUGAAGGACGACGGCCCUACGGGUUGUAAACUUCUUUUAUAAAGGAAUAAAGUCGGGUAUGUAUACCCGUUUGCAUGUACUUUAUGAAUAAGGAUCGGCUAACUCCGUGCCAGCAGCCGCGGUAAUACGGAGGAUCCGAGCGUUAUCCGGAUUUAUUGGGUUUAAAGGGAGCGUAGAUGGAUGUUUAAGUCAGUUGUGAAAGUUUGCGGCUCAACCGUAAAAUUGCAGUUGAUACUGGAUAUCUUGAGUGCAGUUGAGGCAGGCGGAAUUCGUGGUGUAGCGGUGAAAUGCUUAGAUAUCACGAAGAACUCCGAUUGCGAAGGCAGCCUGCUAAGCUGCAACUGACAUUGAGGCUCGAAAGUGUGGGUAUCAAACAGGAUUAGAUACCCUGGUAGUCCACACGGUAAACGAUGAAUACUCGCUGUUUGCGAUAUACUGCAAGCGGCCAAGCGAAAGCGUUAAGUAUUCCACCUGGGGAGUACGCCGGCAACGGUGAAACUCAAAGGAAUUGACGGGGGCCCGCACAAGCGGAGGAACAUGUGGUUUAAUUCGAUGAUACGCGAGGAACCUUACCCGGGCUUGAAUUGCAGACGAAUUGCUUGGAAACAGGCAAGCCGCAAGGCGUCUGUGAAGGUGCUGCAUGGUUGUCGUCAGCUCGUGCCGUGAGGUGUCGGCUUAAGUGCCAUAACGAGCGCAACCCUCGUGUCCAGUUACUAGCAGGUUAUGCUGAGGACUCUGGACAGACUGCCAUCGUAAGAUGUGAGGAAGGUGGGGAUGACGUCAAAUCAGCACGGCCCUUACGUCCGGGGCUACACACGUGUUACAAUGGGGGGUACAGCAGGCAGCUACCGGGCGACCGGAUGCCAAUCCCGAAAGCCUCUCUCAGUUCGGACUGGAGUCUGCAACCCGACUCCACGAAGCUGGAUUCGCUAGUAAUCGCGCAUCAGCCACGGCGCGGUGAAUACGUUCCCG